GUGGGGAAUUUUGGACAAUGGGCGCAAGCCUGAUCCAGCAAUGCCGCGUGCAGGAAGAAGGCCUUCGGGUUGUAAACUGCUUUUGUACGGAACGAAACGGUCCUGGUUAAUACCUGGGGCUAAUGACGGUACCGUAAGAAUAAGCACCGGCUAACUACGUGCCAGCAGCCGCGGUAAUACGUAGGGUGCAAGCGUUAAUCGGAAUUACUGGGAGUAAAGCGUGCGCAGGCGGUUUUGUAAGACAGGCGUGAAAUCCCCGGGCUCAACCUGGGAAUUGCGCUUGUGACUGCAAGGCUGGAGUGCGGCAGAGGGGGAUGGAAUUCCGCGUGUAGCAGUGAAAUGCGUAGAUAUGCGGAGGAACACCGAUGGCGAAGGCAAUCCCCUGGGCCUGCACUGACGCUCAUGCACGAAAGCGUGGGGAGCAAACAGGAUUAGAAACCCGUGUAGUCC
rnacentral:rRNA from 1 species